GAUAACUAUAGUUCAAAGGAAGAACAUUUGUAUGUGGCGCAAUUUAUCUGAGUUCAAUUCUCAGUAGUUAUC
rnacentral:tRNA from 1 species